rnacentral:tRNA from 1 species
GAGAACAAAGUUUAGUAGUAGAAUGCAUGCUUAGCAAGUAUGAGGUCCUGGGUCCAAGACCCAGUAUCUCC